CAAUGAGCUCUCUCCACAUGCGGCCACUCGAAGUGCCGCCGUGAGAAAGGCCCCUGCCGCUAAAGUGUUAUAAGCGCGCUGCUGCCGGCGCCUGCCCGCUCACUUCCAUUCAGAUGCGAUCGCACCGGUCGAGCCGCUGAGCCAGACAGCUCGCUUUGCCCCACGCCGUGUCGCAGUCCAGCUCACUGCGGCUCCUCGCUCCACACAACCUUCCCCACAAGGCAACCAACCCUCACACACCAAAACAAGAGACAAGGGCACUAUUCUUCAUUUAUAUCGUCUUGCCGAGAGAGCGAGAGAGAGAGAGAGAGGGGAGGAAAAAAAGGACAAAGCAGGAAAAAUAAAUAUUUUCCGUGUUUUUUUAAAAAAAUUCCCCCCCCCCACCCCCCGCCGCACAAGGUUGUCCACUUGUCUUUCUCCCCUUUACAGUGCGUGGCGGCUUGUUUCUCGUGAGGAAGAAAGCCCCCCCUUUUCACCUCCCUCCCUCCCUCUCCGGAGAAGAGACCGUGACAGCAAAGGAAGGAAAUAAUGGAGAACGCUCACACAAAGACUGUGGAUGAAGUUUUAGCCUAUUUUAACGUCAACGAGACGACGGGUCUUAGUUUGGAGCAAGUCAAGAAGCAGAAGGAGAGAUGGGGACCUAAUGAACUACCAGCAGAAGAAGGCAAGUCAUUAUGGGAGCUGGUGCUGGAACAAUUUGAAGACUUAUUGGUCAGAAUUUUACUGUUGGCAGCUUGUAUAUCAUUUGUUCUGGCCUGGUUUGAAGAAGGUGAAGAGACUGUAACUGCCUUUGUGGAGCCUUUUGUAAUAUUAUUAAUUCUAAUAGCAAAUGCUAUUGUUGGUGUUUGGCAGGAAAGGAACGCAGAAAAUGCUAUUGAAGCCCUUAAAGAAUAUGAACCUGAAAUGGGAAAGGUUUAUCGGCAAGACAGAAAAAGCGUACAGCGGAUCAAGGCCAGAGAUCUUGUCCCUGGCGACAUCGUGGAAGUGGCAGUUGGGGAUAAGGUUCCUGCAGAUAUCAGAUUGACUGCAAUCAAAUCGACAACCUUAAGAGUAGAUCAGUCUAUCCUUACAGGUGAAUCUGUAUCGAUCAUCAAACACACUGACCCUGUUCCUGACCCUCGUGCAGUGAAUCAGGAUAAAAAGAACAUGCUUUUCUCAGGUACAAACAUUGCAGCUGGUAGGGCAAUUGGAGUCGCUGUUGCGACUGGCACGAGUACAGAGAUUGGCAAAAUCCGUGAUGAAAUGGCAGCAACUGAACAGGAGAGGACUCCGCUUCAGCAGAAGCUGGAUGAGUUUGGUGAACAGCUCUCCAAGGUGAUUUCGCUGAUCUGCAUUGCUGUCUGGAUCAUAAACAUUGGCCACUUCAAUGACCCCGUCCAUGGAGGCUCCUGGAUUCGUGGCGCCAUCUAUUACUUUAAGAUUGCCGUUGCUUUGGCAGUGGCUGCGAUCCCCGAGGGUUUGCCAGCCGUCAUAACCACCUGCCUGGCCCUCGGAACAAGGCGUAUGGCAAAGAAGAAUGCAAUUGUCCGGAGCCUGCCAUCAGUGGAAACACUGGGCUGUACUUCUGUUAUCUGCUCUGACAAAACUGGGACUCUUACUACAAACCAGAUGUCUGUCUGCCGGAUGUUCAUUGUCGACAAAGUUGAAGGUGACCAGUGUUUUCUGAAGGAAUUUACAAUCAGUGGCAGCACCUAUAGCCCUGAAGGGCAAGUGGAAUUGGACGACAAAAUGAUCAAAUGUUCGGAAUAUGACGGCCUGAUUGAGUUAGCAACCAUCUGCGCACUUUGCAAUGAUUCUUCUUUGGAUUUUAAUGAGACUAAAGGAAUAUAUGAGAAAGUUGGGGAAGCCACAGAGACUGCCCUCUGUUGCCUGGUUGAAAAAAUGAAUGUGUUUGACACAGAGUUGAAGAACCUGUCCAAGAUUGAGCGAGCCAAUGCUUGCUGCACUGUCAUCAGGCAAUUGAUGAAGAAAGAGUUCACUUUAGAGUUUUCUAGAGAUCGGAAAUCUAUGUCGGUGUACUGUACACCCAACAAGCCCACUCGUUCAUCUGUUGGCAACAAGUUGUUUGUGAAGGGUGCUCCUGAGAGUGUGAUUGACAGAUGUACCUAUGUUCGUGUUGGAACCACUAAGGUUCCCCUCACGAAGCCCCUCAAGGAGAAGAUUUUGAGUGUUGUGAAGGACUGGGGUACUGGAAAGGAUACGCUGCGUUGCUUGGCCCUGGCGACACGUGAUAAUCCUGUCAGGAGGGAAGAUAUGAAUUUGGAAGAAUCUUCAAAUUUCAUUAAUUAUGAGGUUGACCUUACAUUUGUUGGUUGCGUUGGUAUGCUUGAUCCACCACGGACAGAGGUUGCUACUUCAAUCAAGAUGUGCAGACACGCUGGUAUCCGGGUCAUCAUGAUCACAGGGGAUAACAAAGGCACCGCUGUUGCAAUUUGCAGGCGCAUCGGAAUCUUCAGCGAACGGGAAGAUGUUGAAAAGAAGGCCUUUACCGGUCGUGAGUUUGAUGAACUUCCACCAGCACAGCAGAGGGAUGCUUGCUUAACUGCACGCUGCUUUGCUCGGGUAGAACCUUCCCACAAGUCUAAGAUUGUGGAGUUCUUGCAAGCGUUUGAUGAAAUCACUGCUAUGACUGGUGAUGGUGUGAAUGAUGCGCCUGCCCUAAAGAAGGCAGAGAUUGGAAUUGCCAUGGGAUCUGGUACUGCUGUGGCGAAAUCUGCCUCUGAAAUGGUACUGGCAGAUGACAACUUCUCAACAAUUGUUGCAGCAGUCGAGGAAGGCCGCGCUAUCUACAACAACAUGAAACAAUUUAUUCGCUACCUCAUCUCUUCCAACAUUGGAGAAGUCGUUUGUAUUUUCCUAACAGCAGCUGUGGGCUUUCCUGAGGCUUUGAUCCCUGUACAGCUUCUGUGGGUGAACCUGGUGACUGAUGGACUGCCUGCCACAGCGCUAGGCUUCAAUCCGCCUGAUCUGGACAUCAUGGACAAGCCACCACGCAGUCCGAAGGAGUCCCUGAUCAGCGGCUGGCUUUUCUUCCGCUACAUGGCUAUUGGAUGUUAUGUGGGAGCUGCUACAGUUGGUGCUGCUGCAUGGUGGUUUAUAGCGGCUGAGGAUGGACCGAGGAUUACUUAUUACCAGCUGAGCCAUUUCUUGCAGUGCAAUCCAGAGAACCCAGAUUUCGACGGCAUUGACUGUGAAAUAUUUGAAUCUCCUUAUCCCAUGACUAUGGCGCUCUCUGUCUUGGUGACCAUCGAGAUGUGUAACGCCCUUAACAGUUUAUCAGAGAACCAGUCACUUUUGAAGAUGCCUCCUUGGGAAAAUGUUUGGUUAUUGGGUUCAAUCUGCCUGUCGAUGUCUCUUCACUUCCUCAUUAUAUAUGUGGAGCCUCUACCGCUCAUCUUCCAAAUUACACCACUAGAUGUAACGCAGUGGCUGAUGGUUCUGAAAAUCUCUCUACCUGUCAUUCUGCUGGACGAGACACUCAAAUUUAUUGCUCGUAACUACCUUGAACCGGGUAAAGAGUAUACUCUGCCUAGUGGCAAACAGUGUGAUUUCUCAGCAUGUACAGAGGGGAUUUCCUGGCCUUUUGUACUCAUUUCUGUGCCUCUGGUUAUCUGGCUUUACAGUACAGACACUAAUUUUGCUGAAAUGUUCUGGUCUUGACUGAAAUAGAGCUGUCGUGGAAUAGUUUCGUGGAAAAGACAUGGCAUUUGAUUAACUUCUACCAAAAUUUUUAUCAUUUAAACACCUGAUUCCAAGAGUCUGUUUCUGCUGAAUUUCAUAUGAUCCCAUGUAUGGAUGAAGUUAAUAUUUUUUCCGAACUUAAAUGAAACAGGAUUGAUUUUUACACAACUUUAAAAAAAAAUUAAAAAUUAAACUGUGCAUUGACGUGUACAGAGAUUAAUACUAUUUUCUGCAGUAUUUUGGUUUUGUAGAUGAAACAGCAUGUACAGAUGUCUUCUGUUUACUAAUUUGUUCAUCUUUUGUGUAUAAAUUAAGAACCAGUGAGACAAUGGUUGUGUUUUUAUUUGGCUGAAGAUAUGGAACAAUUAUUUCAGAAUGUUAAAUUGUUUGGGGGAAAAAAUUUUAAAAAUAAUUCCAUAGGUUGUCACCUGAUGAUUAUUUUGGUCGGGUUCUAUUUUAGACUUUGUGCCUUCUGUCCUUUUUUCGUUUGGUUUUAGUCCAAACUGCUUAUUUUCUGCACUCAGAGUACUGCUACCUCAGUCUGCUGUUGGUUUUAUUUCCCAUAAACAUUUGUGUUCUCAGCUCAGUCGCGUCUACAGUCUGCUUGAGGUACGCUGAUCCGUUUUUGUGCAGAACACACUGUUUCCCCCGACCCCACACCCCCCCCAACAUUCCUCCACCCAGCCUUCUAUUGCUUUUUAUUUGUUUCUGUUCUUCUAGUAAGUUUAAAGAAUAUUUAUUUAAAGCACUAAUUGUAUAUUGUAAUGGUCUUAGCAAAUUUCUUUUUUGCCACUUCACUUUGAAUGUUAAUAAGUCGAGGGUUAAUUCAGAUGUCAAGAGAGAGAGAAAAAAAAUAAAAUGUUUUGGACUGAGAAAAAAGAAUUUCACCAUGUUUCUUUUAACCAGGCCGAUUCAUAGUUGCAAUACAGAAACCCCGAAUCUUAAAUUGUUUUAGGUCUUAUUUGUUAAACUCUUAAUUUUCACAUAAAUUUGAACAAGGUUUGGAGAAAUACUUUACUCAUGUGUAUUUGAGAACACUUAAGUAGCUGAAAGCUAAUUAUGUUUAGAUGCUUCAAGCUGGGCACAAACAUGCAAACAGCGAUAUUUUAAAACUAGAAAAUGUAGAAGCAAGCUUUAAGUAGCACACAACCAAAUACUCAUUUGACAUAAUGUAUAGAACUAAAAAGUAAAUUUUAACAUACUAUCAUCAUACUAACUUAUUACAGUUGUAAUAAUCUAAAUGUUGGAUUAUAGUGUUCUAAAGCAUGUUUUCUAAAGUGAAAUUUAAGUGAGGUGGUUUUUUCAUGUGUUAACAAAACCUAACAAUGGUGUUUUCUUCAACGCCUUCCAAAAAAAACCAUCAUUUAAACUCCGGAAGAUGAAGAGGAGAGCAAGUAAUUCCCUUAUAACAAUUUGCAGAAAUCUAAGGUUCUUUUGUUAUCGCGUGCAUGUGUGUUUUUAAGCACAACUACCAAGACCAUUGCAUGUAUAAUGUGCAACGAUAGUAUGCUAUUUGGAGGAAAAGUGUGUUUAAAAAAAAAUUUAGGACUUCAGAGAAACUGUACAUUUGUGCAAUACAUCCUCAUGAACUUUACAGUACUCCCAGAGAAGAAAUGUUCUUUGCUAAAAUGACAAGUCACCACCGUGGAGGACCCACAUCUGUGUGUAGAAUUUUAUUGAAUUUAUAAAUUGUACAUUAUGGAAAUGCACGCCUUCUGUUAAGCAACAGAGUCUGUGUGUUAGGUCAUCAUGACAGUGAAGAACUACUUUAUAAAGAUGGCUAUGUACAAAUGCAGAUAUAUUUAUGAAAAACUUAGAAAAGAUACAAAUCAUGAAUGUUUGAACUGUAAAUUACAUCCUGUAGGUUGACAAUUUCAUAACUCAAUGUAUUUUUUUCUAAGGAAAGUUUUUUUUUCUCUUUGAUGUGAGGCAAAAUGAGAGAAUUCCCUCUUGCACUGUAAUUUAACAAUUUUAAGUUGUAUUGCAUUAACAGAACUGUUAGUGCAAUCGGAAUAUUGUGAUGCAGAUAUAACAAGAACCUGUCAUUUUCCAGAAAACAGCAUGUUUAAUGUUGAAAACUGUAAAUAAGAUCCUAUGUUUAUUUCAGUGCUGACAUUGUAACAUGCAACAGACACAUUUCGUAAAUUCAGGUAAAUAAAGUUACUCAACAUUA